rnacentral:rRNA from 1 species
AUUGAACGCUGGCGGCAUGCCUUACACAUGCAAGUCGAACGGUAACAGGUCUUCGGAUGCUGACGAGUGGCGAACGGGUGAGUAAUGCAUCGGAACGUGCCCAGUAGUGGGGGAUAGCCCGGCGAAAGCCGGAUUAAUACCGCAUACGACCUGAGGGUGAAAGGGGGGGAUCGCAAGACCUCUCGCUAUUGGAGCGGCCGAUGUCAGAUUGGCUAGUUGGUGGGGUAAAGGCCUACCAAGGCAACGAUCUGUAGUUGGUCUGAGAGGACGACCAGCCAAACUGGGACUGAGACACGGCCCAGACUCCUACGGGAGGCAGCAGUGGGGAAUUUUGGACAAUGGGCGCAAGCCUGAUCCAGCAAUGCCGCGUGCAGGAAGAAGGCCUUCGGGUUGUAAACUGCUUUUGUCAGGGAAGAAAUCUUCUGGGUUAAUACCUCGGGAGGAUGACGGUACCUGAAGAAUAAGCACCGGCUAACUACGUGCCAGCAGCCGCCGUAA